rnacentral:rRNA from 1 species
GAUGAACGCUGGCGGCGUGCCUAAUACAUGCAAGUCGAGCGAACGGACGAGAAGCUUGCUUCUCUGAUGUUAGCGGCGGACGGGUGAGUAACACGUGGAUAACCUACCUAUAAGACUGGGAUAACUUCGGGAAACCGGAGCUAAUACCGGAUAAUAUUUUGAACCGCAUGGUUCAAAAGUGAAAGACGGUCUUGCUGUCACUUAUAGAUGGAUCCGCGCUGCAUUAGCUAGUUGGUAAGGUAACGGCUUACCAAGGCAACGAUGCAUAGCCGACCUGAGAGGGUGAUCGGCCACACUGGAACUGAGACACGGUCCAGACUCCUACAGGAGGCAGCAGUAGGGAAUCUUCCGCAAUGGGCGAAAGCCUGACGGAGCAACGCCGCGUGAGUGAUGAAGGUCUUCGGAUCGUAAAACUCUGUUAUUAGGGAAGAACAUAUGUGUAAGUAACUGUGCACAUCUUGACGGUACCUAAUCAGAAAGCCACGGCUAACUACGUGCCAGCAGCCGCGGUAAUACGUAGGUGGCAAGCGUUAUCCGGAAUUAUUGGGCGUAAAGCGCGCGUAGGCGGUUUUUUAAGUCUGAUGUGAAAGCCCACGGCUCAACCGUGGAGGGUCAUUGGAAACUGGAAAACUUGAGUGCAGAAGAGGAAAGUGGAAUUCCAUGUGUAGCGGUGAAAUGCGCAGAGAUAUGGAGGAACACCAGUGGCGAAGGCGACUUUCUGGUCUGUAACUGACGCUGAUGUGCGAAAGCGUGGGGAUCAAACAGGAUUAGAUACCCUGGUAGUCCACGCCGUAAACGAUGAGUGCUAAGUGUUAGGGGGUUUCCGCCCCUUAGUGCUGCAGCUAACGCAUUAAGCACUCCGCCUGGGGAGUACGACCGCAAGGUUGAAACUCAAAGGAAUUGACGGGGACCCGCACAAGCGGUGGAGCAUGUGGUUUAAUUCGAAGCAACGCGAAGAACCUUACCAAAUCUUGACAUCCUUUGACAACUCUAGAGAUAGAGCUUUCCCCUUCGGGGGACAAAGUGACAGGUGGUGCAUGGUUGUCGUCAGCUCGUGUCGUGAGAUGUUGGGUUAAGUCCCGCAACGAGCGCAACCCUUAAGCUUAGUUGCCAUCAUUAAGUUGGGCACUCUAAGUUGACUGCCGGUGACAAACCGGAGGAAGGUGGGGAUGACGUCAAAUCAUCAUGCCCCUUAUGAUUUGGGCUACACACGUGCUACAAUGGACAAUACAAAGGGCAGCGAAACCGCGAGGUCAAGCAAAUCCCAUAAAGUUGUUCUCAGUUCGGAUUGUAGUCUGCAACUCGACUACAUGAAGCUGGAAUCGCUAGUAAUCGUAGAUCAGCAUGCUACGGUGAAUACGUUCCCGGGUCU